rnacentral:rRNA from 1 species
CCUACGGGUGGCAGCAGUGGGGAAUAUUGGGCAAUGGGCGCAAGCCUGACCCAGCAACGCCGCGUGAAGGAAGAAGGCCCUCGGGUUGUAAACUUCUUUUAACAGGGACGAAGAAAGUGACGGUACCUGUUGAAUAAGCCACGGCUAACUACGUGCCAGCAGCCGCGGUAAUACGUAGGUGGCAAGCGUUAUCCGGAUUUACUGGGUGUAAAGGGCGUGUAGCCGGGCUGACAAGUCAGAUGUGAAAUUCCGGGGCUCAACCCCGGACCUGCAUUUGAAACUGUUGGUCUUGAGUAUCGGAGAGGCAGGCGGAAUUCCUAGUGUAGCGGUGAAAUGCGUAGAUAUUAGGAGGAACACCAGUGGCGAAGGCGGCCUGCUGGACGACAACUGACGGUGAGGCGCGAAAGCGUGGGGAGCAAACAGGAUUAGAUACCCUAGUAGUC